GAAAGGCAGAGGCUCAACCUCUGGACUGCGUUGGAUACUUCCGUGCUUGAGGACUGGAGGGGAGACUGGAAUUCACGGUGUAGCAGUGAAAUGCGUAGAUAUCGUGAGGAAGACCGGUGGCGAAGGCGAGUCUCUGGACAGAUCCUGACGCUGAGGCACGAAGGCUGGGGGAGCGAACAGGAUUAGAUACCCUGGUAGUCCCAGCAGUAAACGAUGUGAGCUUGAUGUGGGGGGAUUCGACCCCUUCCGUGUCGAAGCUAACGCGAUAAGCUCACCGCCUGAGGAGUACGGCCGCAAGGCUAAAACUCAAAGAAAUUGACGGGGACCCGCACAAGCGGUGGAGUAUGUGGCUUAAUUCGAUGCAACGCGAAGAACCUUACCUGGCCUUGACAUGCAUUGUGUCGUCGGUGAAAGCCGGCUAGUCCUGGAAACAGGACGCUUUGCACAGGUGCUGCAUGGCUGUCGUCAGCUCGUGUCGUGAGAUGUUGGGUUAAGUCCCGCAACGAGCGCAACCCUUGUGGUCAGUUACUAACCGGCUUAGCCGGAGGACUCUGGCCAGACUGCCCUGUCGAACGGGGAGGAAGGUGGGGACGACGUCAAGUCAGUAUGGCCCUUAUGGCCAGGGCUGCACACGUACUACAAUGCCCGGUACAAUGUGAACCGAAACCGCGAGGUGGAGGAAAUCGCUCUUGAAAACCGGGCCCAGUUCGGAUUGGAGUCUGCAACUCGACUCCAUGAAGUCGGAAUCGCUAGUAAUGGCG
rnacentral:rRNA from 1 species